UAGGGAAUCUUCGGCAAUGGACGAAAGUCUGACCGAGCAACGCCGCGUGAGUGAAGAAGGUUUUCGGAUCGUAAAACUCUGUUGUUAGAGAAGACCAAGGGUGAGAGUAACUGUUCACCCCUUGACGGUAUCUAACCAGAAAGCCACGGCUAACUACGUACCAG
rnacentral:rRNA from 1 species